AUCGAAUAAUUUUAUACAUGUAUAGCAACUAAUAAAAUAGGCCAAACACACGGUUAUUAUACUUCAUGUGCCUGUUAUGCAUUUCAAAGUCAUGCAUAUACGCUAAAUCAGCAUGUGAAAUCAUUUCUACAACCAUAACAAAUCGAAAAUAUGUGUAAACCUUAAUAGCAAAAAUCCAUAACGUCUGACACAUAAAAUGGAUUAUUUUGGUAUUUAAUUACAAUGAUAGCCUAUACGAACCCACAGAGCAAAGUGAAACAGAACAAUACAAAAUGGCGCAUGGAAUGAAGUCCGGUUUUUUCGUGCUCGUUGCUUCAAAAUUUGAAGUGUACUGCAUCGUGGUAAACAAACUAGUAAAAAAACGAUUCGCAAUUUUAAGAAACAGGAAUUUCAAGCAAUAUAAAACCGUUCCUUGACGAGUAUGAUGUUCGCAGGCAGGAAAGCUUCUCAGGUGCUGGAGUCUGUAAAUACGCAGAGGAUGGUCGUAAACAUUGGACCUUGUCCAAAUUAAACUAUCGGAUACUUUCCUAAAAAGAAGGAGAGGCAAGAAAACGCGUAAACCGGGAGCUAGUAGUCCGGUAGUAUUAAUAUCGCUGGCUGAAUAACCUGGUCUCUGAGUUUGUCGAGCUGAUCUUUGGGCCAGAUUUCCGCGUAUAUCGUCACUCUGUUCGUUGUCAUCAGCAGAGGGCAGACUCCUGCCCAGGUUUCAUUUGCGACACAUCACCUCCGGACUGUUACAGUUACACAACUCCCAACUUCUUAGAAGGAGUAACUGUUAUAUACCUACAUGUCUGCUGUUGGAAACUUUUGGUACCCAUGUUUCCGUAAGUGCUCCGUCGCCGAGCAACAAUAAGUGACGAGAAGGAGGUUUGAGCUACGGUGUUGGAUGGAUGGACGAAACGUUACAAGCCUUUGGGUGGUAGGAGAGUUUAUUAUCACUGCCUUCCAUCAGAUGCAUAAAACACAAGUGAAUGGCGAUUUGAUAAUCAACUUCCUGAAAGUUUGGAGCACAUCGAUUAGAUCCUGCUGUCAGGCUCAAACGAUUCCUCACGAAGCACUUGAUAGAAAAUCACUAAUGGUUCCUAGGCUACAACAGAAACCAUCACUGUCCGAAUAUUUGAUUUCGUUCAUUGAAGAUUGGAUAGCAAUGAAAAUGCAGAAAGGUAAGAAAAUAUUGAUGAAGGCUGCUGCUAAAAACUGUGCAACGUUAGUAAUGCUAUAAACGCCCAUUCAACUGGUCCCACCAAGUCCCACUAAGAGAAAUGCGUGUAUCUCGCAAGCAGGCAGUGGUGGCUGCUGAAGUUCGUCAUUUGGAUAUAAUAACAACAUCAGAGAAUGUAAUAUAUGCCGAUUAGCGAUACCCAACUAUACUACCAAAAAACG